rnacentral:lncRNA from 1 species
CUCUCUCUCUCUCUCUCUCUCUAUAUAUAUAUAUAUAUAUAGUCCGGCUGUGAUACUAUCGAUAGCACGAAAUAUUUGGUGCUAUCAAAUUUUCUGUUAUUAGAUUUAUCUCUUUUAUCAUUUUUAUCCGUUCGAUUAUACUAUUCAACCAACCACUCACUCAACUCUAGGGGGGCCGCAUCAUCCUAACCGCACAUCUUUUAAUCCAAGGGCAGAAAACUUAAUAGCACCAAGUCAUUGGUGCUAUUAAUAGUAUUCCAACCUAGUUUUAUAUAUAUAUAUAUAUAGAACUAGACUACUAUGCUAUUAAUAGCACUGAGUCAUUGGUGCUACUAAGUUUUUUGCUAUUGUAUUAAGAGAUGUAUGGUUAGGAUGAUGUGGGCUCCCUAGGGUUGAAUGGGUGGUUGGUUGAAUAAUAUGAUCUAACGGGAGAAAAUGAUCAAAAGGGUAUAUUUAACGGCGGAAAACUUGGUAGCACCAAGUGCUUCGUGCUAUUAAUAGUUGAGCUAGAAUAUUAUUGGUAGCAAAUAGGCUUUAUUGCCAUCUAUUUGUUUUCGAUGAUAUAACUCUAAAUCGAUGAUCGGCACCAUUGAGUAUAAUCUAUACCACUUGAAAUAUGUAGAAGCAAAUUUCAAAUUUUUUUGAUAUUAUUGACCUAAUGAUCAAAAGGUUUUAAAAUUUGUGAUUUUAAUGAUCGAUAUGAGGCAUUUUCACGUUUAACGGUGUAAAGAUAUCCAAAUCAAUUAAAUUUUGGUUACCGACCGUCCCUAGCGCAAGUGGCAAAAGGGUUUGAUGGUUGGUACCCGAGACCCAAAUUCGAAUCCUAGUUGACUCACAUUUCUAGCUAAGUUUAUUUCUAAAUGAAAUAAACGAAGCGGGUAGCAUGCUACCUAUCUCUCAAAUAAAUAAAUAAAUAAAUAUAUUUUGGUUAUAAAAUUUUUUAAACUACUUAGAAUAAGAUAUAUUUUCUCGAUCUUGAUUAUAAGAUUGGGCACUCUCCUAAAGUUGACACAUGUCCCCGACUAUAUAUUUGGUGCACCCGGUGCACUAUAAUACUAUAAAAAGUAUAUAUAUAUAUAUAUAUAUAUAUAUAUAUAUAUAUAUAUAUAUAUAUAUAUAUAUAUAUAUAUAUAUAUAUCCAGCUACAGUGCUUGUAAAAGCACCAAGCACUUGGUGUUUGUAAGUUUUUUAUUGUUAGAUCUACUCCUCAGAUCAUUUUCAACCAUUAGAUUAUGCUAUUCAACCAACCACCCACUCAACCCUAGGGGUCCACAUCAUUCUAACCGCAUAUCUCUUAAUCUAAUGGCUAAAAAUCUACAAGCACCAAUAACUUGGUACUUUUAAAAGCAAUAGGAGCUCAAUUCUAUAUAUAUAUAUGUAGAGUGAGGCUACUAUGCUAUCGGAAGCACGGAGCCUUCCGUGCUUCCAGCUCGUUUUCGAUGUUGCGACUUUCGAAUCGUCGAUCGGCUCCGUUUGAUCUAGAGCAUUUGAAGUACCAAGAAAAUAAAUUUUAUGAUUUUAUGAUAUUCUUUGCCUAGUGAACGAAGGGGCUCAAAAUCAACGGCUGAAAAUAAAAAUCUUACAAAAUGUAAUAAUAUGACAUUAAAAUUUUAAAUCAAAGAUAUUGAUCUUGUUUUAUAUAGUGUAAAGAAUUUUCUAUCAAAAUUUCACGUGAUUUGGAUAUUUCUACACCGUUAAACUUGCAAACGGCUCACUACGGCCAUUGAAAUUUGUUGAUUUUGAGC